ACGGUUUGACUAACGCAUGGGAACAUACCCUUUCCUGCGGAAUAUGUCCGGGAAACUGGAAUUCAUACCACGGACGCCCUACCGGGGAAAGAUUUAUCGGGGAAGGAUUGGCCCGCGUUGGAUUAGCUCUUUGGUGGGGUAAAGGCCUACAUUGGCUACGAUCCGAAGCUGGUCUGAGAGGAUGAUCAGAUCCAUUGCUGACUGAGACACGAUGAUCACUCCUACUGGAGGCAACACUGGGGAAUAUUGGACAAUGGGCGCAAGCCUGAUCCAUAUUGGACGCGUGAGUGAUGAAUGCCUUAGGGUUGUAAAGCUCUUUCACCAAGGAAUAUGAUGGCGGUAGUCGGAGAAGAAGCCCCGGCUAACUUCGUGCCAUACAGCCGCGGUUUUGACGUUGGGGCUAGCGUUGUUCCGAAUUACUGGGCGUAAAGCGCACGUAGGCGGAUAUUUAAGUCAGGGGUGAAAUCCCGCACUCAACUGCGGAACUGCCUUUGAUACUGGGUAUCUUGAAUAUGGAAGAGGUAAGUGCAAUUCCGAGUGUGCAGGUGAAAUUCGUAAAUUUUCGUAGGAACACCAGUGGUGGAAUUUCCUGUACUGGUCCAUUACUGACGCUGAUGUGCGAGGAGCGUGAGGAGCAAACAGGAUUAGAUACCCUGGAUACUCCAC
rnacentral:rRNA from 1 species